rnacentral:rRNA from 1 species
AUUGAACGCUGGCGGCAUGCCUAACACAUGCAAGUCGAACGGCAGCAUGAAUAAGGGUAACCUUAUUUGAUGGCGAGUGGCGGACGGGUGAGUAAUAUGUAGGAAUCUACCUAGAGGAGGGGGAUAACUUGGGGAAACCCAAGCUAAUACCACAUAAGCCCUACGGGGGAAAGCAGGGGAUCGAAAGACCUUGCGCCUUAUGAUGAGCCUACAUCGGAUUAGCUAGUUGGUGGGGUAAAGGCCUACCAAGGCGACGAUCCGUAGCUGGUCUGAGAGGAUGAGCAGGGACACUGGGACGGGGACACGGCCCAGACUCCUACGGGAGGCAGCAGUGGGGAAUAUUGGACAAUGGGCGAAAGCCUGAUCCAGCAAUGCCGCGUGUGUGAAGAAGGCCUUAGGGUUGUAAAGCACUUUCAGUAGGGAGGAAGGGUGUAGCGCUAAUAUCGUUACACAUUGACGUUACCUACAGAAGAAGCACCGGCUAACUCUGUGCCAGCCGCCGCCGUAAAAC